rnacentral:rRNA from 1 species
UAGGGAAUCUUCGGCAAUGGGGGCAACCCUGACCGAGCAACGCCGCGUGAGUGAAGAAGGUUUUCGGAUCGUAAAGCUCUGUUGUAAGAGAAGAACGUGUGUGAGAGUGGAAAGUUCACACAGUGACGGUAACUUACCAGAAAGGGACGGCUAACUACGUGCCAGCAGCCGCGGUAAUACGUAGGUCCCGAGCGUUGUCCGGAUUUAUUGGGCGUAAAGCGAGCGCAGGCGGUUUAAUAAGUCUGAAGUUAAGGCAGUGGCUUAACCAUUGUUCGCUUUGGAAACUGUUAAACUUGAGUGCAGAAGGGGAGAGUGGAAUUCCAUGUGUAGCGGUGAAAUGCGUAGAUAUAUGGAGGAACACCGGUGGCGAAAGCGGCUCUCUGGUCUGUAACUGACGCUGAGGCUCGAAAGCGUGGGGAGCAAACAGG